GCUGGGAAUAAUACAACACAGGAUCUUGCAAUGUUAGUAACACCACAAGGCCAGCAACGUCUUUGUCAAAUCUCAAUGUGAAUGAAGGAAAUGAAUUAUUCUGAGUUGACCCAGAUGGGGAUGUCCAACCCAGGCACUCCAACCGCGAUGAUUAUUUUCCAAGGAGAACUUUCAGAUGAAGGCACAGGAGAAUAGGAAAAUUCUUCACGCCCUUC